UACAGAGGUCUCAAGCGUUGUUCGGAUUCAUUGGGCGUAAAGGGUGCGUAGGCGGCGCGGUAAGUCGGGUGUGAAAUCUCGGAGCUUAACUCCGAAACUGCAUUCGAUACUGCCGUGCUUGAGGACUGGAGAGGAGACUGGAAUUUACGGUGUAGCGGUGAAAUGCGUAGAUAUCGUAAGGAAGACCAGUGGCGAAGGCGGGUCUCUGGACAGUUCCUGACGCUGAGGCACGAAGGUCAGGGGAGCAACGGG
rnacentral:rRNA from 1 species